rnacentral:rRNA from 1 species
AUGGGAAAAGAGUUGGCCCAUAACAGAAAACCAAAAAGAACCAUGUUCAGGGCUCAUAUUUCUAAGAUCACAUCUAGCACAAAAAAUAUGGGAGGCAAAAAAUACACAUCUAAUCUGCAUGUAUGCAAUGGCAGGGUUGCAGAACAAUCAUCUAGACAUUUUACUGAUCCAACAUACGAUUUUAGGGUGCAUAAUAAUUCAACCCAGCUACCAGUAUGCCAACAAUCAGCACUUUCUCAGAGAAAAAAAACACACCAAAGACUUCAGUAUUAUUGCAAAGGGAGGAUUGUCAUAAACGUCAUAAGCAACUAUUGA